AAAAGACAUCCUCCCUUUAUCCCUACCGUCUCCCUGACAGGUUUGCAUAUAGAACUGUUUGCACCAAGCGUUCAUUUCUUCCACAGGCAGCAAAGCCAGAACAACUUCCUAAUUAGCCCUGGAAUUGCCCCCAGGCAAGCUGCAGAUGAGUUGCCCUUGAAGUACAGCCCCAAGGACAGACGUGUUCAGAGGCAUCUCCUGCAGCUUUCGCACGAAAACAGAGCCAUCCAUCGGAAUGGUCAGCACCAGCCGUGGCGGAUCCAGGCCACCUAUAACCACAGCCUCAGCGUUUGUGUGCCCCUGGGGACCCGGCAGACGAGGAUUUCCUCUGCGCUUCUGCUCCUGGCCUGCUGUGGGGCUGUAGGAAGUCAUUUUGCAGCUGUCUGCCUCAGUUUCCCCCACACGCAGACUCUUGAUCCCCGCGCGAGGGAGGGAGGCAGCCAGCGCCGGUGCCUUGCUGCACAGCCCUGCCGAGAUCCCCACCAGUGCUUCCCCCAGCGAAUCCCCCCCGAGGCAAGCAGCAAGAAAAGUCCCCACCACCUGCAUUUUUGGGGCCAGGUAGGUGGGAGGAGGGGAUGUUCCUCCUCAGGCUCAGAGGACUCAUGAAAGCAAAGUAUUCAGGGCAUAAAGGGGGGAAAAUGUUCAAACAGCUCUGUUUGCCUUUCCUGAAAAUGAGGAGAUUCCUUCUUUUGUGUCUCGAAAAACAG
rnacentral:lncRNA from 1 species